CUGCCCUUCCAUCCCUUGGAUAGAGAGGGAGGGCAGAGCUUUUGGUUUUUUCAUGUUGUCAAAGAGUUGAACAAUGGUUUUUCGUGUUGUCAAAGAUUUGAACAAUGAAAAUAGAUGGCGAGUGCCUGAUCGAAUUGAUCAGGUCAUGUAGGAACAAGGUUCAAGUCUACCGGUCUGUUAGGAUGCCUCAGCUGCAUACAUCACUGCACUUCCACUUGACACCUAUCGUAAUGAUAAACGGCUCGUCUCGCCGUGACCUUC
rnacentral:rRNA from 5 species